rnacentral:rRNA from 1 species
AAGCAACGCGAAGAACCUUACCAGGCCUUGACAUGCAGAGAACUUUCCAGAGAUGGAUUGGUGCCUUCGGGAACUCUGACACAGGUGCUGCAUGGCUGUCGUCAGCUCGUGUCGUGAGAUGUUGGGUUAAGUCCCGUAACGAGCGCAACCCUUGUCCUUAGUUACCAGCGCGUUAUGGCGGGGACUCAUAGGAGACUGCCGGGGUCAACUCGGAGGAAGGUGGGCGGACGUCGUAAUACAUCAUGUCCCGUUACUGUUUGGGUUAGUAGUCUCCACCUCUACAGUAUCGCAACCUUCGUACGGUCGGUCGACGCGCCGACGUCGUGGAGGCGAACGGACGCACAGGGAGUAG